rnacentral:rRNA from 1 species
AUUGAACGCUGGCGGCAGGCUUAACACAUGCAAGUCGAACGAGUGGCGGACGGGUGAGUAAUGCUUGGGAAUCUAGCGUAUGGAGGGGGAUAACUACGGGAAACUGUAGCUAAUACCGCGUACCAUAGGAUGAGCCCAAGUGGGAUUAGGUAGUUGGUGAGGUAAAGGCUCACCAAGCCGACGAUCCCUAGCUGGGCUGAGAGGAUGACCAUCCACACUGGGAUUGAGACACGGCCCAGACUCUUACGGGAGUCAGCAGUGGGGAAUAUUGCGCAAUUGGGGCAACCCUGACGCAGCCAUGCCGCGGUUAUGAAGAAGGCCUUAGGGUUGUAAAGUACUUUCAGUCGGGAGGCGUUACCGACAGAAUAAGCACCGGCUAACUCCGUGCCAGCAGCCGCGGUAAUUC